GAUGAACGCUGGCGGCGUGCCUAAUACAUGCAAGUCGAGCGAACGGACGAGAAGCUUGCUUCUCUGAUGUUAGCGGCGGACGGGUGAGUAGCACGUGGAUAACCUACCUAUAAGACUGGGAUAACUUCGGGAAACCGGCGCUAAUACCGGAUGAUAUUUUGAACCGCAUGGUUCAAAAGUGAAAGACGGUCUUGCUGUCACUUAUAGAUGGAUCCCCGCUUCAUUAGCUAGUUGGUAAGGUAACGGCUUACCAAGGCAACGAUGCAUAACCGACCUGAGAGAGUGAUCGGCCACACUGGAACGGAGACGCGGUCCAGACUCCUGCGAGAGGCAGCAGUAGGGAAUCUGCCGCAAUAGGCGAAAGCCUGACGGAGCAACGCCGCGUGAGUGAUGAAGGUCUUCGGAUCGUAAAACUCUGUUAUUAGGGAAGAACAGAUGUGUAAGUAACUGUGCACAUCUUGACGGUACCUGAUCAAAAAGCCACGGCUAACUACGUG
rnacentral:rRNA from 1 species